rnacentral:rRNA from 1 species
UACAUGCAAGUCGAGCGGACAGAAGGGAGCUUGCUCCCGGAUGUUAGCGGCGGACGGGUGAGUAACACGUGGGUAACCUGCCUGUAAGACUGGGAUAACUCCGGGAAACCGGAGCUAAUACCGGAUAGUUCCUUGAACCGCAUGGUUCAAGGAUGAAAGACGGUUUCGGCUGUCACUUACAGAUGGACCCGCGGCGCAUUAGCUAGUUGGUGGGGUAAUGGCUCACCAAGGCGACGAUGCGUAGCCGACCUGAGAGGGUGAUCGGCCACACUGGGACUGAGACACGGCCCAGACUCCUACGGGAGGCAGCAGUAGGGAAUCUUCCGCAAUGGACGAAAGUCUGACGGAGCAACGCCGCGUGAGUGAUGAAGGUUUUCGGAUCGUAAAGCUCUGUUGUUAGGGAAGAACAAGUGCGAGAGUAACUGCUCGCACCUUGACGGUACCUAACCAGAAAGCCACGGCUAACUACGUGCCAGCAGCCGCGGUAAUACGUAGGUGGCAAGCGUUGUCCGGAAUUAUUGGGCGUAAAGGGCUCGCAGGCGGUUUCUUAAGUCUGAUGUGAAAGCCCCCGGCUCAACCGGGGAGGGUCAUUGGAAACUGGGAAACUUGAGUGCAGAAGAGGAGAGUGGAAUUCCACGUGUAGCGGUGAAAUGCGUAGAGAUGUGGAGGAACACCAGUGGCGAAGGCGACUCUCUGGUCUGUAACUGACGCUGAGGAGCGAAAGCGUGGGGAGCGAACAGGAUUAGAUACCCUGGUAGUCCACGCCGUAAACGAUGAGUGCUAAGUGUUAGGGGGUUUCCGCCCCUUAGUGCUGCAGCUAACGCAUUAAGCACUCCGCCUGGGGAGUACGGUCGCAAGACUGAAACUCAAAGGAAUUGACGGGGGCCCGCACAAGCGGUGGAGCAUGUGGUUUAAUUCGAAGCAACGCGAAGAACCUUACCAGGUCUUGACAUCCUCUGACAACCCUAGAGAUAGGGCUUUCCCUUCGGGGACAGAGUGACAGGUGGUGCAUGGUUGUCGUCAGCUCGUGUCGUGAGAUGUUGGGUUAAGUCCCGCAACGAGCGCAACCCUUGAUCUUAGUUGCCAGCAUUCAGUUGGGCACUCUAA